GAUGAAGAACGCAGCGAAAUGCGAUAAGUAAUGUGAAUUGUAGAAUUCAGUGAAUCAUCGAAUCUUUGAACGCACAUUGCGCCCCCUGGUAUUCCGGGGGGCAUGCCUGUCCGAGCGUCAUUACAACCCUCAAGCUCAGCUUGGUGUUGGGCCCCGCCGCCCCGGCGGGCCCUAAAGUCAGUGGCGGUGCCGUCCGGCUCCGAGCGUAGUAAUUCUUCUCGCUCUGGAGGUCCGGUCGUGUGCUCGCCAGCAACCCCCAAUUUUUUUCAGGUUGACCUCGGAUCAGGUAGGGAUACCCGCUGAACUUAAGCAUAUCAAUAAGCGGAGGA
rnacentral:misc_RNA from 1 species